rnacentral:piRNA from 1 species
CUUCUAGAGGGCAGCAGUGGCAG